AGUGAACGCUGGCGGUAGGCCUAACACAUGCAAGUCGAACGGCAGCACAGUAAGAGCUUGCUCUUACGGGUGGCGAGUGGCGGACGGGUGAGGAAUACAUCGGAAUCUACUUUUUCGUGGGGGAUAACGUAGGGAAACUUACGCUAAUACCGCAUACGACCUACGGGUGAAAGCAGGGGAUCUUCGGACCUUGCGCGAUUGAAUGAGCCGAUGUCGGAUUAGUUAGUUGGCGGGGUAAAGGCCCACCAAGGCGACGAUCCGUAGCUGGUCUGAGAGGAUGAUCAGCCACACUGGAACUGAGACACGGUCCAGACUCCUACGGGAGGCAGCAGUGGGGAAUAUUGGACAAUGGGCGCAAGCCUGAUCCAGCCAUACCGCGUGAGUGAAGAAGGCCGUCGGGUUGUAAAGCCCUUUUGUUGGGAAAGAAAAGCAGCAGGUUAAUACCCCGCUGUUCUGACGGUACCCAAAGAAUAAGCACCGGCUAACUUCGUG
rnacentral:rRNA from 1 species